CUAUCUGAGCAGGGUAAGCCGGCCCCUAAGGCGAGGCCGAAAGGCGUAGUCGAUGGGAACCAGGUUAAUAUUCCUGGGCCAGGAGAUGUUACGGAUCGCAGAGGUAGUUCUUCCUUAUCGGAUUGGAAGGGCUGCUGUGUGGUUCCUGGAAAUAGCCCUCCAUGAGACCGUACCCUAAACCGACACAGGUGGACUGGUAGAGAAUACCAAGGCGCUUGAGAGAACCACAUUUAAGGAACUCGGCAAAAUACCUCCGUAAGUUCGCGAGAAGGAGGCCCCGUUUGUACGCAAGUAUGGGCGGGGGGCACAAACCAGGGGGUGGCGACUGUUUACUAAAAACACAGGGCUCUGCGAAGCCGUAAGGCGACGUAUAGGGUCUGACGCCUGCCCGGUGCCGGAAGGUUAAAAGGAGAUGUGCAAGCAUUGAAUUGAAGCCCCGGUAAACGGCGGCCGUAACAAUAACGGUCCUAAGGUAGCGAAAUUCCUUGUCGGGUAAGUUCCGACCUGCACGAAUGGCGUAACGACUUCCCCGCUGUCUCAAAUGUGGACUCAGCGAAAUUGAAUUGUCUGUGAAGAUGCAGACUUCCCGCGGUUAGACGGAAAGACCCCAUGCACCUUUACUAUAGCUUCGCACUGGCAUCAGGAUUGUGAUGUGCAGGAUAGGUGGUAGGCAUUGAAACCGGGACGCCAGUUCCGGUGGAGCCAUCCUUGAGAUACCACCCUUCGCACUCUUGAUGUCUAACCGCGGCCCGUUAUCCGGGUCCGGGACCCUGCGUGGUGGGUAGUUUGACUGGGGCGGUCGCCUCCCAAAGAGUAACGGAGGCGCGCGAAGGUUGGCUCAGAGCGGUCGGAAAUCGCUCGUUGAGUGCAAUGGCAGAAGCCAGCCUGACUGCAAGACUGACAAGUCGAGCAGAGACGAAAGUCGGCCAUAGUGAUCCGGUGGUCCCGAGUGGAAGGGCCAUCGCUCAGCGGAUAAAAGGUACGCUGGGGAUAACAGGCUGAUGAUGCCCAAGAGUCCAUAUCGACGGCAUCGUUUGGCACCUCGAUGUCGGCUCAUCUCAUCCUGGGGCUGGAGCAGGUCCCAAGGGUAUGGCUGUUCGCCAUUUAAAGAGGUACGUGAGCUGGGUUUAGAACGUCGUGAGACAGUUCGGUCCCUAUCUGCCGUGGGUGUAGGAUACUUGAGAGGAGUUGCCCCUAGUACGAGAGGACCGGGGUGAACGUUCCACUGUUGGACCAGUUGUCGUGCCAACGGCAGUGCUGGGUAGCUAUGAACGGACAGGAUAAACGCUGAAGGCAUCUAAGCGUGAAGCCCCCCUCAAAACAAGGUAUCCCUUGAGAGCCGUGGAAGACCACCACGUCGAUAGGCCGGAGAUGUAAGCGCAGCAAUGCGUUCAGUUGACCGGUACUAAUGGCUC
rnacentral:rRNA from 1 species